CUUCAGAGUUUGUGGAUCCUCCUGGUCUCUGUCUCCCUCCCAGGAAAGAGAAGACCCCAUGUAUGCACAGUUAAGACCACUGUCUCCACAAGAAUCCAGGAUAAAGAGAUCUUCCCACACCCCAGCCUUUAGGCUAUUUCAGAUCUAGAAUGAAAGUGACUCAGAAUAAAUGAAAGAAUACAUAAAUCUGAGUUUCACCAUGUGAUGAUUUCAAACUUCAGAGAAACUGAGAAUUGAUGAAGUAAGUUUGGAGGAGGUUCACUCCCAGAAGAAAACAUGCCUACUGCAGUAACUCUGACCAAGAACCAAGAACCCAAAAUGCAGAGAAACUACAUGGAAGAUUAAUCAAUCUAAGUGCUGAGUAACACUGGCUUUGUGAAUCCUCAUACUCCUGGCCAUAUCAGAGACAAAAGCUGUCUGGACUCUCCAGUUUGGUGGAAAUACCAUGCUGGAGGCUGGAGCUUACUCCUCUAAAAUUUCAGUGAUUAUCUAAGGACAAAGUGCUUCCUGUGAUAUGAAAGAGAAAGAGGAAUUGAUGGAGAGGGACGUUUACAUGGGGUAGGGGUGGGAGGGCACAGCAGAGGAAGGAUGGAGGAGGGAUAACUAAAAAGAUACAAAGCAUGCUUGAAAAGGUCAUAUGGAAAUAUACUAGCUCAUAUGGUUCAUAUGUACAUGUAUCACAUAAAAGAGUUUUACUGGAGUUACCCUGCACAGGGAAUACCACUCCUCCCAGAAGCCAUAUGUAGCCAAAUAGGCCAGUGCCAGGUGUGGGACACCUCCUCUCUGAGUUGUUGAUAAAGGAUAUUCUGGAGAUCCUCCUACAAUAAUGCAUGCUAAUCUUGGUUCCCCACCAGAACGUGAUGGAGACCCCACUCAUUUUGUCACAGGAUGUGGAGAAGCCAAGAUAGCACUCGCUGAGAAGCUUUCUUCCUGCUGACUAGUUUUUGUAGUAUAUUGGAAGGUGCUAUGCAGGAUACUAAAGGAUAAAAGUCAUCAAUAAUCUUACCCAGUAGAAAACACUGUAGGUUACGGUAAGGACCAGUUGGGAAAAACAUGCCCAUUGGUGUGAUAGUAGUGUGCAUGUUAUAGGAGUAACUUACUGCAUUCUGAUUGGAUUUAAGGGCCACUCUUCAGAAAGAAACAAAUGCCUGGUACUAUAAAUCUAUCCAAGAACCUAGCUGGGACUCAUAGGGCCCAGGGUGAACCUACUGAUGUUAUUUUGCUAAAUGGAUACAGUCAAACUGUCAUCUAAAUUUGUAUUUUAUACCCAUAGAUUAGUGCAGCAAUCAGACAUCACUAGAAAAAAAUUGCUUGGACAGUAGACAGCAGUUAAUGCAGAAAUAUUUCUCCUUAAAACAUCUCCUCUCCAAUCAAUACAGCAACACAGGAUCCAGGUUGCACAGGAAGUGUGAAUUUUAAGAACACACCCCCAAAGAGCACCUGUUGUGGAUUAGGAAUGCACUGCUGUCUCUGUUUCCUCUGAGCUCCCACAAACACUGCCACAGACAUUGCAAUACAUUCACUAUCCAAGGCAGCAUCUCCUCUGUUGUGAAAUCUGACGACAACUGGGAAAGCCUCGCUUCUGCCAUUUCCAAACCCAUGCAUCAAGAUUCUAGGUUUAGAGAAAUCUUGGAAGCCUAGCUGCAACUUCCCAGCCUCCUCAUCAUGAAGAGAAACAUCAAAAAGUAGGAAGGAGGAUGGGGAACGACUCCCCAUUUCCCACAGGAUAAACACCAUAGCUAUGUUUCUUGUCCUGUCUAUAUUAAACAGUUUACAGAGGUACAUACAAGAGGCAAAUCUACAAGUGCUCCUAUAGUAGUACAUGAGGAGGAGAGGAAGAAUGUUGGUGUCUGAAUUAAUGGAAAGGAAGAUGCAUACAGUACACAGAGUCUCCUCCCGGCUUGGGCAAGUAGCAGUGGAAGUUAGUAGGAAGGAGUAAGUGUCCUCACUCUGGACUCAUGGAUCCACAGAUACACCCAUCAAAGUCUAGAGUGUGGCCAGAGACAUGAGUCAAGUAACAUGAAAGAGAAGGCCAUUGACAACAAAGGAUUCCAGCGUAGGCAAUGUCAGGGUGUAAAAAUUCAUCAUCUUGAUAAACUUUGACAUUUGCUGGUUCAUAGCAGAAGACUUGAAAAAGAUGGAAGAGGAGCUAAAUAUGAAAGAAGAGUUCUGAAUACAUGGACCAAGAAGAAAACCAAUCACUGGGGGAUACAGGAGGAUGAAGCUGCCUGGGAAGGAAGAAGAGAAUGGCAAUGUUAGGAUUUGACACCCUUAGUGGGCUUUGGACCUGCCCUCAAGGGAAGGAAGUGAGACGUAUCAGCAUGUUGUAUCUUCCCAACUCAUCACCAAAGACAGACUCCAUCACUGAACCUCGCUGAAUGUAUUCACUGAACUUGAUGUGCUGGUGACAGAUAAGGGUGUUCCCACCCCAGUGAUUGUCACUAAUUCUGAGAGUGUCCAUCCAUUACAAAAGAUUAAGACUUCAGAGACUAAGAUGAGGUUCAUGUACCUGGAAACUUGGCAAAAAAAUAAAAAUAAAAAAUAAAAAAUAAUACAAAUCACUCUUAAGCAUGGGAUUCUUUUUAAGGAUUCCUUUUUAGACACCUGCUCACUCACCCCGUUCCUAGAACAGUUGAAAACAAAGAAAUGGAAACAAAUAUUUGAGAAAUGAAUUUAAUCAAAGACUUGCCUGUUCUCAAUCAUCCAAGGAGAUUCGGGGAGGGACUCCUAUGACACAUAAGAAAAUUGUACAAGUUUUGGACAGCACAUGUGUCUCAAGCAGAAUCCUUCAAAAUACUGGGCUACAAGCUCUCUAAUAGAGAGGUCCUUUCAUGGUCAUCAUUGUAUUUCCAGAAUUUAGAAUGUCAAGUAUUACACUCUAACCACCCAAACUACUUCUUCCACAUGAGAAAACACAUUCCUAUAAUUUCCAUCCACUUGUCCUUGAAACAACACCAAAAUGAGGUUUGUCUGUACUCCGUAAGUUAUUUGAGAACAGCCAGUUAUCCCAGCCUAAAUGUCAUAAGGCAGGUUUCCCCUAAAGCAGAGCCAGAUAAAAAGCCAGUGUGUGUGUUACUUAUGACCAAUGGCCACUGGGGGAGAACAAAUGAGGAGCAGUAAGCUGAAUUGUGUCCUUCAAAAAAAAAAAUCCCCAAGCCCUCCUCUCUAGAGACUGCAAAAGUAACCUUUAUUUUUAAAUAACAUCUUCAUAGAUUGUAAUUAGUUAAUAAUUUUGAGGUGAGACCCUAUAGGAUUUAAUUAAGGUGGCCCUUUAAAUUCAGUGACUGGUUCCAGCUAAAAGAAACAGGAGUGAAUUAACACUAUGAUACACAGACAUGGAAAAGUCAUGUAGAGACCCAAGAAGAUGAAGGAGAGAUGAGAGUGAUGUUGCUACAUACCAGGAAACAUCAGAGCCACCUGGAGUUGACAGAAAAACAUAAAAGACUAUCUAAGAGCCUCUGGAGGGACCAUAGUAUGCUGAUACUCUGAGUGUAGACUUUUGGCCUCUGGAACUGUGGGCCAAUGUCUUUUGGUUGACAGCACCAUGUGGGACUCUUUGCUGUUGGAUUAAUAGAGGAACAGGGCUUGAUAGAGAGACAUGGGAUUAUUUCAUUCUUCAGGCAAAGGGUUUACAAGAGAUCUGGAGAGAGGAGCGGGGUCUGAGAUAAAAAGUUUAGCCUAUCUUUUGAGAGCAGAACCAGCUCUAUUAAGGUCCCCUGUAAUGAAAGAAGGAAGUGGGAGGUGUCAGCUGGUAUCACCGGACUAAGAGACGCUAUGCUUUCUUGUAGUUUGGGCAGAGGCAAAUAUUUGAAAAGUUCUAAGGCCAUUUCUAGAGAAGGGGCAUCUGGAAGAACAAUAGGCCUAGUUAGUUUGUGAUGUGACAGUCACUUGUCCUGUGUAUAGCCGUUCUUUCUUUAAGACUUUGAUAUCUGGAAGGACUCAUGUCCAAGAAGCAUGGACACUUUGUUCUUUAUGAGAGUGGAGAAGGAGGAAGGCUGCAACUGGGUGUGGCCUGUCAGCUCUUUGUAGCAUCUGUGAGGUGACAGGGACUGCACCUUCAGGAUCCAGGUCCUAAUGCAGAAUAGAGGACGGGGCUCACUGGGAGGAAAGCUCACAUAAGCUGUGCUGUCAGACUUAGCACAGAGGGCAUCUUACUGUCAGUUAACUGCCACUCCAUUUCUCAUGGGUAUCCCCAUGACAUGCCAGCUUCUCUACAUCUUUCGGCUGCUUCAUGGGGAUGGUUGCGUAGGUGAGUGUGGACCUCCCAGAGAAGUCCUGAAACAGGAAGCAAGCCCAAGGAAGCCCAAGGCAAGACACCGCCAGGUAGCAAUGGAAGUUCUGGGAAUGUGUGUGUGUGCAAAGUCACAGCUGCAGAAACACACAGAGGAUGGGCUGCGUCCAGGACACCAAGUACCUCCGGUAGUGCAGUCUAAUUAUCUUCCAAGAGAUGCCCCCUUGUAGCCACUUUAGACAGGAGCUCCUGUCCCUGUCUACUAGGAAAGAGACUGAAGCAUGGAGGCCAAAUGACUUACUUCUAGCCCCACAGAUUUUAAACGACGGAACUGGGGUCUAAAGUGAGUAGCUAGGGCUGCAAAACCUCUGCUUUUUCCACUGUGCCACCUGCUUCAUUCGACUGGAACUUGAAUAAACACAGCCCCUAGUACAGACUCAAUGACUCCUGGGCUUAUUAGUGGAUUUCUGAUUGAUUAUGGCUUUUCUGCCCAUGUGGUAAAUCUGUAUCCAGCCCCAGCUGCCGGGCACAAAUGCCCUCACUGCCAGCCUUUGCAGUCUCUGUGGAACUGGGGGAGCCACAAUUUCUCAAACUCUAUUAGCACUUCAUAGAUGCUUUUCUCAAAUGUAUUUAUUGAAUGUUUUCCUUGUACUUGCCCCCAAUGCAGUUCGCAGACCAGUGGUGGCAAAUAAUUAGUUUAUUCUCCAAUAAAAACCAUGCAUCUGCUCAAAGUUU